CCUCGAGCGCCAGCGCCGCCGAGUCCGGGCUCCGGCGGCACCGCGGGCGGCCGCCCUCGCUCCCCUCCUCCCUUCUGCCCCACCUCAGGAUGCCGGCCGGGGAGGCGGCUCAGGCACAGAAACCUGCAGCAGAGUGAGCUCUGUGCUUUAAUGAGCCACCCCCCAAACGUGCUGUGACUCCUGUAAGUAUCUGAAUUGGAGUGUAAUAGUUUUGAAGUGGUGGCGAACAAAAAUCUUUAUGCUGUGUUAUUGAUCUGCUGAUGAAAGGCGUUUGGAUUUGAAAAGGGUUUUUAGUCUGGGGGUUUUGUGUGCUUAAAGGUUUUUCUCUCUCUCUCUCUUUCUUUUUUUUUUUUUUUUUAGGCAACAACAUUUUUCUGUUGUUGUUUCUGGAAUGACCUUGAGAGCUUUAAAACUACCCCAGUUUCCAGCGGUGGGUUUGAGGGGGAGGCAGCAGCAGAAGCACACAGUGAAAAUCGAAAAUAGAAAUAGGAACUGAAGGAGGUGCAGUGAGAUGUUUUCUUAUAGAAGUAUGUGAAAAAGGAAGUUUUUGUAAGAAUGCGUGAAAAAGAGGAGAGGGAAAUAACGCAGUUUCAAAUGCGGUUAGAAAGAGAACAUAUCAUUCUUCACAUUUUAUUAGGCCCUGAAAUGCAGCAGUGAUAUGAUCUGGAAGACACAGAACUCAAACGCCUGACUACAAGUUGAAUAGCAGGCAUUGACUUGCUGACCAGUGCUUCCAUGCUCGUGCUGGGGGGGCUGGUUUUGUGUCUGCAAAGGUAUCAGAGCUCGGUGCUAUGACAAUGGCUUGCAAAUGCUUUAACGCCAUGUUUUAUUGCUCUUAGGAGCUCUUAUUUACUGUAGGUUUGGGAAUACGGCUAAGACUUUAAUUUGUGAUGUCCACACUAAGGUUUAAGCGUUUCCUUGGAUAAUGCAGAAGGACGGUUUUAAAUAAGUAGGAUAAACUGCAUUCUUUGGCAGGGGGAGGGCAGAGGGGAAGGGUGGAGGUGUUUUUUUCUUCCCCUUUAACUAGUUCUGUAACAGAGUCAAUAUUUUAAGAUCUGUGGCAAGAAUGUGCCUUUGUGAUCACUAACCUUUCUGUAAUGUUUUUAAAAAUGAGCAAUACUGUAAUUCUGUACAAAGCGUCUGGGUUUUACAUGUUAGCAGCUCGUGCUCGAGAUCAGCACCGAGUUUGGCAGUUCUGCCUUUAAGUUUUUGGAGUGAUGAGUAUGAAAAGAAAAUAACUUUAGAAACGUGGUUAUUACAGUGAUUAUUGAUUGGCUUGGCCCGCAGCCAGGCAACUCUUCUGCAUGCACCAGAGUUGCUGAUUUAAAUUCUAUAAGUUCCUUUAAAAUAUGUGGGUUUCUCGAAUCGUUAAACGAUAUCUAGAGCUAUUUAAGAACAGUAGAUCAGCUUUUAGUUAAGGUUGUUCAAUUAUGUCUUCAUCGCUUUGGAGUUGGUUGAAUGACUUGACAUGAGAUUAAGCACAACAAAAGAAAAGGCAGGGGAACAACAGCUGCCUUCCAGUACCCGAGCAGCAGCGUUCUCAGCAGCUCAGCGUUUUACCUUCUAGUAUUAGGUGGUGUCAGGUUUAAAUGUUAAUAUUUAUAUGCGUAUUUACAAGAACCUCGGGCGUUCUGAUAACACAUCAGGCACCCGAGUGCUGGCUAUUCGUCUUUGGGGGUUGUUUGUCUCUUGCCUUUUUAGGAAAACUAUCUUAAGAUCUGAUACUGAGGGGUGAAUUGAUCUCAUUAACUUUUCAGACAAAAGUAGCGAACAGUCACCACUAGUUUGUACUUGUUUAGUUACUGUGUGGUAAGAACUUUAAGGUGUGUCCUUAAUGGCAGUUGACGAUUCUUGCUGCGAAGCCUUGUUUAUUUUAGGUAGAUGUUUUAUACAGAAUUUCCAGUGGGACAAAUUACUCCACUGCCUGCACUCACCCUUUCUGAAGGCUGGCUGUGAGCAGAAGAGAAUAAUUCUACCGUGCUGCAAUCAGACUGAUUUCUGCCAAUACAUAAUUGUGGGUAUGUUUGGAAGUGACAACUUCAAAGUCACUCUUCUGUAGAGGUGAGGGAUAGGAAGCUGCUGCUUCUUCUACCAGCCCACUGCUAUGUUGGUAAGAUUGGAUUCAGAGUUGAAAUCAGGUGAGA
ensembl:lncRNA